rnacentral:rRNA from 1 species
UACGUAGGGUGCAAGCGUUGUCCGGAAUCACUGGGCGUAAAGGGCGCGUAGGUGGUUUUGUAAGUCUGUGGUGAAAGCCCGGGGCUCAACCCCGGGUCUGCCAUGGAUACUGCGAGACUUGAGUACUGUAGAGGCUGGUAGAAUGCCGGGUGUAGCGGUGGAAUGCGUAGAGAUCCGGCAGAAGACCGGUGGCGAAGGCGGCCAGCUGGGCAGUAACUGACGCUGAGACGCGAAAGCGUGGGGAGCAAACAGG